rnacentral:tRNA from 1 species
GGCGCGGUAGCUCAGUCGGUUAGAGCGUCGGAUUCAUAACCCGGAGGUCGAGGGUUCGAAUCCCUCCCGCGCCACUA